ensembl:lncRNA
CUGAGGAUAAUGUCUGAAUCUUCUCUGGACACCAGAAGUUGUGACGUUAUGAAGGUUCUGGAGAGUGACGGGCCACACGUGAACAACGGCACACACGCCCAGGAGUGUGUGACAGACCAAAGUUCCCCCCAUCAAACUCAGGAAGAGAUUCAUAUCGAGCUCAGUCAGUCUUUCGAAAAAGACGAAACGUCCAUCAGAUAUGAGGACAGUGAGAAAAUCUCAGAAAAGCCAGAGAAAACAGACCCGCUGUCCAAGAAGACGCUCUCAAGAGAUCCCAGUCAGGACUACACCGACUCCACAGGAGUGAACCUCCACGAGUUUCUGGUCAACACGCUGAAGAACAACCCCCGGGACAGAAUGAUGCUGCUGAAACUCGAGCAAGAUAUUCUGGACUUCAUUAGUAACAUCGAAAGUCAGAAGCGGAAGUUCCCCCCGAUGACAUCAUACCACAGGAUGCUCCUUCACAGGGUGGCGGCGUAUUUUGGGCUGGACCAUAAUGUCGAUCAGACCGGGAAAUCAGUCAUUAUCAACAAAACCAGCAAUACUAGAAUACCGGAUCAGAAAGAUAACUCCAGCCUGGACCAGGAUGAUGGCAGGCUGCGGAUGCGUCUUAAGGACGACAGAAGGAGUAAAUCGAUAGAGGAGCGAGAGGAGGAGUACCAGCGUGCCAGAGACAGGAUCUUCGCCCAAGAAGUAAUCCAAGAGGACGUGACUUUCAUUAACACUCAGCAGAGACGACAGAUAUUCAGUCGUCAGAGCAGCUCUGAGAACGAGCUGAAGUAUUCGGAGCCUCGGCCCUGGAGCAGCACAGAUUCAGACAGCUCCCACAGGAACCUGAAGCCCGCCAUGACCAAAGCCAACAGCUUCAGCGGCAUCAGCCUGCUGAUCCGAGGAGACAGUACAGCCAGCAGCAAGAGCACCGGGAAACUGUCUAAAACCAGUCAGCCUUUUGUGAACCCUGAUGGCAGUCCGGUGGUUUACAACCCCACUAUGACAUCACAGCAGGGGCGGGGCCAGCAGCCUAUGACUCUACAUCCUCCCCCGCCCCCUCCUCCUCCUCCUCCUCUUCCUCCUCCCCCUCAACCUCAUCCAGCCAAUCACCUUCUAAUGUUGUUUGUUCGUCCUUGGAUGUCGUUUAUGCUAAUAAGUUGCUGUCUUGAUGUGUUUCCAGGUUUCCAGACGGUCAUGCCCGCUCAACCCCCCAGUUACCAGGGCAUGAUGGGAAUUCAGCAGACUCCGAACCAAUCGCUGAUCGGCUCUCAGGGCGGAAUGGCCAAUCAGAUUCAGAGCGUGAUGGUGCAGUAUCCCACAAUGCCUCAGUAUCAGGGUUCUCAGAGCGUUCCUCAGGCAGCCUAUCAGCAACAGAUCAUGCUGCAGGGACAGACCAAUCAGGCGCCAACGCCCUCCGCCAGCAUGCAGGUGUAUUACAGCAUGAUGCCGCCAACGCAGCACUCUAGCAUCAGCUCGACAGUUGGUUUCCUCCCUCCGCCGGGUUCAGAGCAGAUGCCGUUUCCCCGACCGCCCUCCCCCUGCGGCUCUCAGCCAAUCACAGGCCAGCAGUGCACAGCGGUGCCUCCGCCGCCCCCUGCUGGUGGAGUGGUGAUGAUGCAGUUGAGCGUUCGUCCCAGCCAGCAGCCCAGAGCCCCGUCCCCACCGCACUGGAAACCCAACCGUUACUACAAACACAGCGACCUGCCGCCACAAGACACCGCACAGAAUAAUCCACAGCAGCUGCUAAGCCCCUCCCCCUCUCCGGUGCAAUCGCCUGCUCCCGCCCAUCUGGCCAAUAUGAAGGGGCCUCGUCCUGGCCACGCCCCGUUUCCCAUGAUGCCUCAGUUUCCCCGCCCGUACGCUCAAAGUGAUGGCAGGUAUCCUCCUCUGAUUGGGCAGCCCCUCCAGUAUAACCCCCCCAUCAGACCCCCACUAAUGCACGGCUCUCAUGUGGUCAACCACCACCAUCAUCAUCAUCUUCAUCACCACCAGGGUCCUGUGGGUGUCCGGCACGGCAUGCGCAGUCGAAGACCCACGAAGAAAUCACUGUCUACUGACAUGAGUCCAGGAGAAGCGGACACCGGCCGUGUUUUGGAGGUGACGGACCUUCCGGCUGGCAUCAGUCGAGUGGAAGCAGACUCUUUACUGGCAGAACUGAGCAAAGCUGGCGCUAUCAUAAAAUGGCUGCCCAAACCUCCGUCCCCCAGCCAAUCAGAGGGAGCGGACGUUACGAACUCUGACCCUCCCAAACCACCCCCUCACGACCUGGCGUCCACAUACACCAUCCUGGCCUUGUUCCCGUCUAAAUACGCAGCGCAGGGUGCGCUUCAAAAACUCAACAGCUCCAUCACCAAAUUCAAACUGAGAACUAGCAAGGAACUUAACGAACAGCACACGCUCGCCAGAUCCAGCUCUCAGUGAGGCCACGCCUCUUCCUGUCUUUCCACCAAUCACCACCAUUGCCUCAGGCUCACUUCCUGCCAUUUCAGUCUCACCUUCCUGGCUUUGUUUGUUUUUUUGUUUGUUUUGUUUGUUUUUGCGCCACUAUGGCUUGAUCAAAACGGGUUUGUUACUUUCGAAUGGGGUUUUCACGCUAGUUUGUUAAAAAAAAAAAAUGUUGUAGUAAAAUUGUUCUUUCACGGUUUCAGACAAACAAAACCAAAACGAAUUCAAAUGAGACAUGUUUGGCUUGUUCUUCUGUUCACUUUGAAUAGAUCAAGAUCACAAAACUGAAACCGGAGCAUGUUGUUUGUUUGUUUUAGUUUUUUUCGGGAAAUGGCACAUCAUACAAAACGAAACGUUUUUUUUUUUCUUAGGUUUUUUUUCUUAAACAACCAAACAUGCUACAACUGACCCAUGAACAUGAAGACGGGACACAAGGGGACACUUUUCGACUUGUGCCUUUGAGCAGGGACGCACUGUUUAUGCCGAACAACGACUAAGCCAGAAAAACAAUGUCCAAAAAUGUGUAAUUUAUACUGUAGCCGAAUCCAAAUAAGCAAGUCUUUUUUUUUUUCUUCGUCCGGGAGUCUUCUCGCCUUUGGCUCUCCAGUAUGUGGACUGGGUGUUUUUGAAUUUUUAACUUAAUUUAAACGUUGAUGGAAACGGCGCAGCAGCCAAACGGAAGGUUUUAUCGCUUGCUUUCUCAUUUCCGGUCUUUGGGAAGAUGGACAUCAGUGCAUUUAUGGGUUUUUAGAAUUCUUAUCUCAUUAAAAGUCACUGGAAUAAAAGUUUGCACUGUCUCUCA